UAGAGGCAGCAGUGGGGAAUAUUGCACAAUGGGGGAAACCCUGAUGCAGCGACGCCGCGUGAGUGAAGAAGUAUUUCGGUAUGUAAAGCUCUAUCAGCAGGGAAGAUAAUGACGGUACCUGACUAAGAAGCACCGGCUAAAUACGUGCCAGCAGCCGCGGUAAU
rnacentral:rRNA from 1 species